rnacentral:lncRNA from 1 species
GCGCUGCUGAGACCCGCGUGUGCGGAGGGAAGUGGGGAACUGCCCCUUUUCCAAGGGCCUGAACACAGCUUUUGACUACUGACUGUCCUGUUCUGCCUUCCUCUUCGCGUGGGCCACCGCCCCACAGCGCCGCUGGGUUCCCUUCGCGGCCGCAUGGUACGCGUCCCGGGAGCGAAGCUUCCCCUGGGGGGAGCGCGCUAACCUGAGCUCCUUCGGUGCACCGCCCUGCCGACUGUCUGGAAGUCAGCAAUGGGAUAUUCCCACCACAACUUUACCGGGAUCUCUGGGUUGACUCUCUGGGUUGAGGAUCGGGGAGCUGGGUCGGGAGGCUGGCUUGUGGCUGUGGUUGAGGGGCCCGGACGCCUCGAAAGCAGGAGGGUGCCCAGGCGAAGUGCAGGCUGCACCAUGCAAUCUUCCGGGCGCAGAGGCGACCCAACCCGACCUGAGGGAGAUCCACGGGCUCUGGGCCGAGGGGAGACGCAGUGGAAUGAACUGAACUGCUGGUCCACAAGAACAGUUUUUCUAUCAAAGGAUACCAUCAAAUUCUGGAGAAGUUCUACAAAUCAUAAUCUAUUUCCCUUUUUCCAGAAAGGCAACUUGAUUCGGGGGGAUAUGGCAGCUUCCACUCUGAGGUGCCCUUACUUCAAAUCAGGCCCAGCCCAAGGAAUUCUAGUAGCAUGUAUCCAACUGUUUCAAACCUCCACCUGCUACAUGGGCGUGGCUUCUGAGAUCGACAUGCUUCCAACAGCUUAUACAGAGUGAACGGCAGAUGCGUCCUUUGGGGGUGAUCUCAGGGACGUCAGAAAGUCCCUGCCUUCCAAAACACCUCCACCACCUUCUUGGUGGUGAAUAAAUGAGGGAAAUCCCAUCUAGAGAAGAGCA